GCGGCGCAUGCGCGGCCCGGCUCCGCCCCGCGCGCAUAUUUAAUCCCAGAAUGCCUCUGUGUUGCACCAGAACGGCGGCGUCGUUCUGAGCCUGCGGAGGUGGGGUGCGGCGGCGUGAAGAUGGCGGCAGCGGCUGUUGCAGCGGCAGCAGCGGCGGCGGCGGCUGCAUCUCUUCAGGUGCUGGAGAUGGAGAGCAUGGAGACGGCCGCUGCCGGCUCGGCGGGGCUGGCUGCCGAAGUCCGAGGCAGCGGCACGGUUGACUUUGGGCCUGGGCCCGGGAUCUCUGCGAUGGAGGCGAGCGGGGGCGAUCCGGGCCCGGAGGCCGAGGAUUUCGAGUGCAGCUCUCACUGCUCGGAGCUGUCCUGGCGGCAGAACGAGCAGCGGCGCCAGGGCCUGUUCUGUGACAUUACCCUGUGCUUCGGCGGGGCCGGAGGCCGCGAGUUCCGGGCCCACCGCUCGGUGCUGGCUGCCGCCACCGAGUACUUCACGCCCCUGCUCUCAGGCCAGUUUUCCGAGUCCCGCUCGGGCCGGGUGGAGAUGCGCAAGUGGAGCUCCGAGCCGGGGCCCGAACCCGACACCGUGGAAGCCGUUAUCGAAUACAUGUACACCGGGCGCAUCCGCGUUAGCACCGGCAGUGUGCACGAGGUGCUGGAGUUGGCCGACAGGUUCCUAUUAAUUCGUUUAAAAGAAUUUUGUGGAGAAUUUCUCAAGAAAAAGCUUCAUCUCUCAAAUUGUGUGGCCAUUCAUAGCUUAGCUCACAUGUACACCCUGAGCCAGCUUGCUCUGAAAGCUGCUGAUAUGAUACGGAGAAAUUUCCACAAAGUAAUUCAGGAUGAAGAAUUUUAUACUUUACCUUUCCAUCUCAUUCGAGACUGGCUGUCAGACUUAGAAAUUACAGUUGAUUCUGAAGAGGUUCUCUUUGAAACAGUUUUGAAGUGGGUUCAGAGAAAUGCUGAAGAGAGAGAGAGAUACUUUGAAGAACUUUUUAAAUUGCUCAGGUUGUCCCAGAUGAAACCUACCUACCUUACCCGGCAUGUCAAACCAGAGAGGCUGGUAGCCAAUAAUGAAGUUUGUGUCAAGUUGGUGGCCGAUGCAGUGGAGAGGCAUGCCCUGAGAGCCGAGAAUAUACAAUCUGGCACCUUCCAGCACCCUGCUUCUCAUGUCUCAUUAUUACCUCGUUAUGGGCAAAACAUGGACGUGAUCAUGGUUAUUGGAGGUGUGUCAGAAGGAGGGGACUAUUUAAGUGAAUGUGUGGGCUAUUUUGUUGAUGAGGACAGAUGGGUAAACCUGCCCCAUAUUCAUAAUCACCUUGAUGGACAUGCCGUUGCAGUAACAGAGUCCUAUGUGUAUGUUGCUGGAUCAAUGGAACCAGGGUUUGCUAAAACUGUAGAAAGGUAUAACCCGAAUUUGAAUACGUGGGAACAUGUUUGUAGUCUGAUGACAAGAAAGCAUUCUUUUGGGCUGACAGAAGUCAAAGGGAAGCUCUAUAGCAUUGGAGGACAUGGCAACUUUAGUCCUGGCUUUAAAGAUGUGACCGUUUAUAAUCCUGAGCUUGAUAAAUGGCACAACUUAGAAUCGGCACCAAAGAUUCUUCGAGAUGUCAAAGCGCUAGCCAUUGAAGACCGCUUUGUGUACAUUGCUGCCCGUACUCCCGUGGACCGGGACACUGAAGACGGAUUAAGGGCUGUAAUUACUUGCUAUGAUACAGAGACUCGACAGUGGCAAGAUGUGGAGUCUUUGCCACUUAUUGACAAUUACUGCUUUUUCCAAAUGUCUGUGGUCAAUUCAAACUUUUAUCAGACAGCAUCAUGCUGUCCCAAGAGUUAUUCUUUAGAAAAUGAAGAGGCAGUAAGAAAAAUUGCCAGCCAAGUGUCUGAUGAGAUCCUUGAAAGCUUGCCUCCAGAAGUCCUCAGCAUCGAAGGAGCAGCCAUUUGCUAUUACAAAGAUGACGUCUUCAUUAUUGGUGGCUGGAAGAACAGUGACGAUAUUGACAAACAGUAUCGGAAAGAAGCCUACCGAUACUGUGCUGAGAGAAAGCGGUGGAUGCUUCUUCCUCCCAUGCCACAACCUCGGUGUAGAGCCACUGCUUGUCAUGUGAGGAUCCCAUACCGGUACUUGCAUGGCACACAGAGAUAUCCUAUGCCUCAAAACCUAAUGUGGCAGAAGGACCGCAUCAGACAGAUGCAGGAAAUACAUCGGCAUGCCCUAAACAUGCGGCGAGUGCCAAGCUCUCAGAUUGAAUGCUAGGUUCUCUAAUACAUGCAGCUUAAGACUGUUAGACCUGUUUCGUGAAGCUAAAGAUAAACAGACUGUUACUUGAAAAAGUAUGUCGAUAACUUAUUUUCUACGUGAACUGAUUAUUACCCCUCAACAAGGAAGUACAGUUAAAAACUGAAGAAUGGGAAACUCAGUUCAAUACAUGCUCCUGUUGCCGGCGUCAGGUUGCCCAGGUCCAUAUUCCUGAAGCAUCCAGCUACCUUCCAUGGCUCCACACUUGCUCCUCAGACACUGAGUUCCAGGAAAUCCACAGCAGAAGAGGCAGAAAGGAGAAGUAAAGCUAAUUAAAUGUCAUCCUGGCCCAGCAGUCCAGGGUCUUCCAGCCCCUUUGGAUGUGUUAGUCACUCAGUUUCCUCUGGAAUGAGGAGUGGGCCCAGUUAACGAAGCACCUUCUGGAUGAUUAACAGAAUUCACUCCCGUCCAGCGGUGCUUUUGUCACACCACUUUAAGUCUGGAAAUGCCCGCUCUUGCCAGGGCUUUUGCUCCAGAAAGAGUGGCAGGAGCUCACCCACCCACGUAAACAUCUUGGGACCCUCGCCCUCCUCCUCACAAUAGAACCCGCCACCAGUUUCUCUA